rnacentral:tRNA from 1 species
GGGCCGUUAACUCAGUUGGUAGAGUAUCUGCCUUUUAAGCAGAGAGUCGCGUGUUCGAAUCACGCACGGCCCACCA